AUGGCCUCCUACCCUUGCAACCCGCUCCCCCACCUUCCUCUUGGCACUAUGAUCAUCCCUCCUGGCCCCCUCCACGCUCGCCGUGGCUAUGUGGUUCUUGGAGGUGACCUCCCGAUGGUCUGCGAUGAGUGGGCAAUCGGCAUGCUCGUCCCCGAGGUGUCUGCUGAGGAGUUUCAUGGCGCCAUUGCCCUGAUCACGAACUAUCUGGAGGGUCGUGGAUGGCGCAUCAACUUCACAUCCCAUUGUGGUAUGGGUACUGCUCUGGUACAGUUUACAACUGCCUGCUCGCGUGAUACUGCUGUCAGUCUUAGUCCGUUUCAGAUUGGGGACUCUGUUCUUAGAAUUAGCAAACAUGAUAGAGGUCUUAAUUACCGCAGCAUUACUUUCACUCAUGAUGUUUGGAUCUUACUCAUGAACUAUCCAUUAGAGUGUUGGGAUGUUGGAAUUAUUAGCCGCACUGUUUCACCAUAUGGUCGCUUUCUGAUCUGGAACAAAGAUCCAAGGGACAAAGAAAGGGUUAUUGUUAAGCUCAGGGUCAUGAAUGUUGACACUAUUCCAGUUAGCCUAGUAGUACUAAGGAAUCUUGAUGAUGUUGGCUAUGGGGAUUCUUGGACUUGCCCAACUUAUAUUCUGUUGAGGGAACUGAUUGGUCAGCAAGGGGGUGAUGAGGAUCCAUUGCCACCUGAUGGUGGAAAUCCUCACCCCCUCCCUCAUGUUCAUCGAGGUUUCUGG
rnacentral:rRNA from 1 species